UGAAGUAACUGAUACCACGCUUCCAGGAAAAGCCACUAAGCAUAGGUUAUUAUAAAUCGUACUGUAAACCGACACAGGUGAUCAGGUAGAGAAUACUCAGGCGCUUGAGAGAACUCGGGUGAAGGAACUAGGCAAAAUAGCACCGUAACUUCGGGAGAAGGUGCGCCGGCGUAGAUUGUAGCCCUUUACGGGUGAAGGUUGAACCGGUCGAAGAUACCAGCUGGCUGCAACUGUUUAUUAAAAACACAGCACUCUGCAAACACGAAAGUGGACGUAUAGGGUGUGAUGCCUGCCCGGUGCUGGAAGGUUAAUUGAUGAUGUAAUCGAAAGAGAAGCUUCUGAUAGAAGCCCCAGUAAACGGCGGCCGUAACUAUAACGGUCCUAAGGUAGCGAAAUUCCUUGUCGGGUAAGUUCCGACCUGCACGAAUGGCAUAAUGAUGGCCAGGCUGUCUCCACCCGAGACUCAGUGAAAUUGAAAUCGCCGUGAAGAUGCGGUGUACCCGCGGCUAGACGGAAAGACCCCGUGAACCUUUACUAUAGCUUGACACUGAACCUUGAAUUUUAAUGUGUAGGAUAGGUGGGAGACUUAGAAGUAGCAACGCCAGUUGUUAUGGAGUCAACCUUGAAAUACCACCCUUUAACGUUUGAUGUUCUAACGAAGCACCCGAAACGGGUGUUCGGACAGUGUCUGGUGGGUAGUUUGACUGGGGCGGUCUCCUCCCAAAGAGUAACGGAGGAGUACGAAGGUUUGCUAAUCACGGUCGGACAUCGUGAGGUUAGUACAAUGGUAUAAGCAAGCUUGACUGCGAGACGGACAUGUCGAGCAGGUACGAAAGUAGGUCAUAGUGAUCCGGUGGUUCUGAAUGGAAGGGCCAUCGCUCAACGGAUAAAAGGUACUCCGGGGAUAACAGGCUGAUACCGCCCAAGAGUUCAUAUCGACGGCGGUGUUUGGCACCUCGAUGUCGGCUCAUCACAUCCUGGGGCUGAAGUAGGUCCCAAGGGUAUGGCUGUUCGCCAUUUAAAGUGGUACGCGAGCUGGGUUUAGAACGUCGUGAGACAGUUCGGUCCCUAUCUGCCGUGGGCGUUGGAGAAUUGAAAGGGGCUGCUCCUAGUACGAGAGGACCGGAGUGGACGCAUCACUGGUGUUCCAGUUGUUUCGCCAGAAGCAUUGCUGGGUAGCUACAUGCGGAAUAGAUAAGUGCUGAAAGCAUCUAAGCACGAAACUAGCCUUGAGAUGAGUUCUCCCAAUCUAUAAGAUUGUAAGGGUUGUUUGAGACUAAGACGUAGAUAGGCAGGGUGUGUAAGCGUUGUGAGACGUUGAGCUAACCUGUACUAAUUGCCCGAGAGACUUAACCAU
rnacentral:rRNA from 1 species